AACGAACGCUGGCGGCGCGCCUAAUACAUGCAAGUCGAGCGAGAAGACGUAGCAAUACGUUUGUAAAGCGGCGAACGGGUGAGGAAUACAUGGGUAACCUACCCUCGAGUGGGGAAUAACUAGCCGAAAGGUUAGCUAAUACCGCGUACGCUCCUUGGACUUCGGUUCAGGAGGAAAGCGAUACCGUGGGUAUCGCGCUCUUGGAUGGGCUCAUGUCCUAUCAGCUUGUUGGNGAGGUAACGGCUCACCAAGGCUUCGACGGGUAGCUGGUCUGAGAGGACAAUCAGCCACACUGGCACU
rnacentral:rRNA from 1 species